CACAGCCUCAUCUGUCAGCUGGUAGUUCUGAGCCUCAAUGACUCUUUCGUUGUCCUCAACUGCACGGCACUGAAAGACAAAACAAAAGCUGCCUAGCCCCCACUCAAUAUCCAGAAGUGAUGUGCUAACUGGCUGUGAUAUCAUUGUAAAGCAUUUGGCAAUAGCCACGGAAAGGCAUUUGCCAGAUAUCUGUCAUUCUGGCAUAGGUAUCAAACUAAUGGCCUCACUGA
rnacentral:lncRNA from 1 species